CGGCGCGACGCCUGGGGGAUCGGGAAUCGGGUGGAGGGCGAUCGGGAGGCCGCAGGCUGGUCCGCUGCGGCGGCCGAGAGCGUCGGCGACGGUGCCGCGCGGUAGUGGUUUAGCUGCGGAGGCAAGGGAGAUGAUGCCCCCAAAGAGCAAGGCCUUUAAGCCUGGAGUCAUAGCAAAGCAACUUUUCGUGUAAAGAAAGAAAUGGCUGAAGCGGAAGACGUUAUGUCUGUUAUUGAGAUAGAGGAACUCGGUAUUUCAAUGAAAAAUGAACUGAGAAACUGCUUUUCAUCGGAUAUUGUUUAUGACAGUGGAUCUCAAUUCUGCUUGAUACCGAGAAUACAUGAGCAUAUCCGUGCGAGUGAUAGAUAUUCUUACGAACCAAUAAUUUUGUCAAUUGGCCCGUAUCACCAUGGAUCUCCAGCACUUUCUUCUACAGAGAGAGAAAAAUGGAACCGCUUGGACUACGUCCUCAAGCUAAACUGUGAGAAGGGUUUGAAAGAUUACUUGACCGUCAUAAAUGGACUAGAGAAACGAGCAAGGAUGUGCUAUUCUGGAGAUAUUAAAAUGAAUAAGAAGGAUUUUUUGCAGACGCUCUUGCUUGAUGGAUGUUUUGUGCUUGUCUCCCUUGGGAAAUUUAAUGAAUUUAUAAGGCCUGAACUCCACACUGGCAUGCCUAGUUCAUCACAUGCCGAAAUACUUAAAGAAGAUUCGAGUUCUGGGCAUCCAGAAGUAACGGGGGUAAAUGAUAUUCAACAAAUAAACACGAAGACGUCAAAUGCCAUGAAGAGCACUGUAGUGGGAGAAGACAUUGUGAAUCAUACGCAUUCCAGGGAAGAAAAUUCAGUGCUUGAGAUUGAGUUAUGCUCACAGAGCAGUGGCCAUAACACAGGGCAAUGCCUAUAUCCGGACAAUGCUCAGCAGAUUGGACAGUGGUAUGAUGUUUAUGUUAUACAUAACCUAUUCCUGCUGGAGAACCAAAUUCCGUUUUUCAUAGUCGAGGCAGUAUAUGAGGUAGCUAUUUCUAACAAGGUGGCACCAACUACUACGUGUAAAUCAAGUUUUGCUCGAUAUACAGAAAGGUAUGUGUCAUUCUAUCCAACAGCAGUACGAGAGUCCAGUCGGCCAAAAGAUUUUGAUCAUUUGCUACACUUGUGUCAUAUGUACUUCCGACCUAGUUCUAACCAGGAUGAACACCAUACAACAAAACACUAUAUUCGUUACUUCCUUCAGAUGGGUCGAGAUUACCUCAGCCAUUUAGGUUCAUCGCAGCAUGACCAUUUUCCAAACCGAUGGCGUCGAGAAACACAGUAUCAUGAAGCUGGAAUUGAGUUUAAGAUGAGAACAUAUUCUGAGCAUAAUCCCCAUUCCCUCUUGGAUAUAAAGCUCAGAGAUGGUAUCCUGGAAAUCCCGUUCUUGUUUGUGGAUGAAGAAACCAUCGUAUUUUUCAGGAACCUGAUAGCACUGGAGCAAACAUGUCCGCAAGUCGGAAAUUAUGUCACUGCCUACACUGUUUUCAUGUCCAAGCUUUUGAGCAUGCCCGAUGACGUAGCACUGCUGGCUCGAAAGGGGGUCAUCGCGCGUCAUAUGCGCACCGACAGAGAUAUAUCACAGCUCUUUACCAGGCUGACGAAAGGCGUUGUCUUUGAUUUCUACGGGAAUCAUCACCUCAAGCAUCUGUGCUUAGCCCUGGAGGUAUCUUAUCAGAACCGUAUGCACAGGUGGGUUGCAUGGCUGAGACACAACCAUUUGAGCAAUCCAUGGCUGGUUGUCGCUGCGUUGGCUGGUGUUAUUGUGCUUUUCUGUACUGUCGCACAGACUGUCCUCACAGUCCAGUCUUAUGUUAAUCCAAGGUAAGCACCCAUGGAAAAUUGAUCAAGACCAGCCACACUGUUAUUCACUGGCUAUAGUUCCAAGUGUACUUCAAUGAGGACAUCGAAAAUGAGCCAUUUAAGCGUCAUCCAUCAUGCUUUGGUUGGGUCAAUAACCAUGUUCUUUAGUUAGUUUCGUUCUCGGUGGUGGGCCUGGUAUGAGUCCUGACCAGGGUGGGCGACUUCGUGAUACACGGGCUUGCCGAUGCGCGAGCCGCUCCCGUCAGGACAACCUCUUCUAUCUCUGGUCGUCGAAGAAGCCCCGCUCUGCCUACCUUUCUCUGUCGCAAGGAGCCGUUCCCUGUUCGGCGUUGUUGGAGCGGAGCAGGUUUUCGUCUUUGCUGUUGCAGCUUGUUUGUUCGGUUCCUGUGUAUGCUCUUUGUCAGGAUUUUUCGCACGGCUUUCCUUGAAUAAGCCGUGUAUUUGUAUCAGUUUUUGGGCCCGGUAUUCCUCAUAAACAGGGACAAUUCUAUUCUUCUAAUCAAAUCGCGGGGAUCGACCGU